UGUACGUGAACGGGGAGUGGGUGACCAGUAUUGGAGAAGGAGGUAGUUUUGGAGAGCUGGCCCUGAUCUAUGGGACUCCAAGAGCUGCUACCGUGAAGGCCAAGACGGAUCUGAAACUGUGGGGCAUCGACCGAGACAGCUACCGGCGCAUCCUCAUGGGAAGCACACUGAGGAAGAGAAAGAUGUACGAAGAGUUCCUCAGCAAGGUCUCCAUCCUUGAGUCUUUGGACAAGUGGGAACGUCUGACUGUGGCCGACGCUCUGGAGCCCGUUCAGUUUGAGGAUGGAGAGAAGAUAGUGGUGCAAGGAGAUCCUGGUGACGACUUCUUCAUUAUAACAG